CGCGUGCGAGCUAAAGUUGUACAGUACAGUUGCUUUCCUGUUUGGAGAUACUAUACCCACACAGAACACGACUAUGUGUUUAGUGAGAUCGCAACCAUGUAACUGUACAGCUGCAGACUUUUCGCGGAUGAGAGGCCUACUAGGCUAGAGUUCAGGCAAGUGGAGCAACAGCACGUGCCAAAACACGUGGAGCGCGUGCGAGGAGGAGGACUGGGAAAAUGAAUUUGACGACUGUAUAUUUGAUGACUCGACCAAUGUCAUCAUGACAUUUCCAUAACAACAAAACUGGAAGAAGAAAGGUGGAGAAUUCUACACAGAGCGUACGCAUGCAUGCACGGUUUCUAUGUCUAGUUUUGCCUGUGGUUGAAGUGCUGUUUGAGUUUUCCAGUAUAGCGCAUGCGUCCUAGGCUACAUGCAUCAACAGUGUAGACUGCAUGACUCACUGUGUGUGACAGAGCAAUAUGCAGCCGUGCACUGUGGACGUUGGAGUGAAAGUGCAUAAACUCUAGAAUGCAAACGUGGAGUUCCUUCAACUCGAUUACCGUAUUUGUAUCUCUUUCUAUUCUAUAUAGUUGUUGUAUAUCUGUUUUCAUUCUUUUAGCGUCUGCAGAAAUAUCACCCAACGCAUCAUUUUUCGUCGCUAUGGUCGCUACUGGUUUCUUCUAGUAUCUUCUUUGCUGAAACGAGACCAAGCGGUCGAACAUUAGGAAUGGCAGAAAGCUGAAAGUCGCAACCAAACAGAGAUGGAACGGAACACCGAAGGUCAGACAGAAAUUCGUGAACAAUUUUGUCUCCCUCUUCUCUGUGAGGUGAUAUUUUGUGGGGUGCAGACUCUAGCAGGCAGUGCAACGGGUAACUAGAGUUGAGAAAUGAAGGAAUAAGAACAGUAUGAAUAACUAGAUUUUGAAGAGAAUUCAACACUGUAGACAUG